rnacentral:lncRNA from 1 species
AUGUGCUGCACGGUAAACAGUAGUCUGUGGCACCAUCCACGCCGCCAAAGAUAGCACAUGAUGGCGAACGAUAUUCCAGGAGAAACUGAUUCAUCGAGGUCACGACGCUUAGUAUUGAGGAUAAAAGACACAAGUGCUGUUUUAUCUAUCAGGUACAAAUUCAUGUCUACCUCACUGUGACGGUCAUAAGACGCUGCAAUCCGGGGAGUAAGCUCUGUACCUUCACCUUCAUCAUUGACCUUCCUGGCCACAUCAUCCCCUCGUCGGCCUGAAGAACGAAGUCUUGCUAAACUACUUAACAGUUCUCGUCAAAUAAUGCCCCUAACAUGUCAAUAACUUUAAGGUUCUCUUAUACGCAUUAUGUUUUAAAUUGAGACUACAAUACACUUAAUUUUAAUGCAGAAA